rnacentral:rRNA from 1 species
GACGAACGCUGGCGGCGUGCUUAACACAUGCAAGUCGAACGGAAAGGCCCUGCUUUUGUGGGGUGCUCGAGUGGCGAACGGGUGAGUAACACGUGAGUAACCUGCCCUUGACUUUGGGAUAACUUCAGGAAACUGGGGCUAAUACCGGAUAGGAGCUCCUGCUGCAUGGUGGGGGUUGGAAAGUUUCGGCGGUUGGGGAUGGACUCGCGGCUUAUCAGCUUGUUGGUGGGGUAGUGGCUUACCAAGGCUUUGACGGGUAGCCGGCCUGAGAGGGUGACCGGCCACAUUGGGACUGAGAUACGGCCCAGACUCCUACGGGAGGCAGCAGUGGGGAAUAUUGCACAAUGGGCGGAAGCCUGAUGCAGCAACGCCGCGUGCGGGAUGACGGCCUUCGGGUUGUAAACCGCUUUCGCCUGUGACGAAGCGUGAGUGACGGUAAUGGGUAAAGAAGCACCGGCUAACUACGUGCCAGCAGCCGCGGUGAUACGUAGGGUGCGAGCGUUGUCCGGAUUUAUUGGGCGUAAAGGGCUCGUAGGUGAUUGAUCGCGUCGGAAGUGUAAUCUUGGGGCUUAACCCUGAGCGUGCUUUCGAUACGGGUUGACUUGAGGAAGGUAGGGGAGAAUGGAAUUCCUGGUGGAGCGGUGGAAUGCGCAGAUAUCAGGAGGAACACCAGUGGCGAAGGCGGUUCUCUGGGCCUUUCCUGACGCUGAGGAGCGAAAGCGUGGGGAGCGAACAGGCUUAGAUACCCUGGUAGCCCACGCUGUAAACGGUGGGUACUAGGUGUGGGGUCCAUUCCACGGGUUCCGUGCCGUAGCUAACGCUUUAAGUACCCCGCCUGGGGAGUACGGCCGCAAGGCUAAAACUCAAAGGAAUUGACGGGGCCCCGCACAAGCGGCGGAGCAUGCGGAUUAAUUCGAUGCAACGCGUAGAACCUUACCUGGGUUUGACAUGGAUCGGGAGCGCUCAGAGAUGGGUGUGCCUCUUUUGGGGUCGGUUCACAGGUGGUGCAUGGCUGUCGUCAGCUCGUGUCGUGAGAUGUUGGGUUAAGUCUCGCAACGAGCGCAACCCUUGUUCACUGUUGCCAGCACGUUAUGGUGGGGACUCAGUGGAGACCGCCGGGGUCAACUCGGAGGAAGGUGGGGAUGACGUCAAGUCAUCAUGCCCCUUAUGUCCAGGGCUUCACGCAUGCUACAAUGGCUGGUACAGAGAGUGGCGAGCCUGUGAGGGUGAGCGAAUCUCGGAAAGCCGGUCUCAGUUCGGAUUGGGGUCUGCAACUCGACCUCAUGAAGUCGGAGUCGCUAGUAAUCGCAGAUCAGCAACGCUGCGGUGAAUACGUUCCCGGG